rnacentral:lncRNA from 1 species
UGCCUCUCUCUUAGUUCACCUUCAAACCAGGGAUGCCAAUGAUGGGCUAAAGUCAGCAAACUAUUGUAGUUCAACCAUCCAGAAGUUCUCAGGAAAUCUUGGGAUUAUCCUUCCCGUUUUCAUCGAUAAGUCUUCCUUUAAUAAUGUGUGUGUGUGAUUGACACAAAAUGGUUCUUGAAAUUCAAAUCUGAGCAAAUUACAAAAUGGGUCCGAGUCUGGUAUUGUCAAGGGUUAACAGGGUUCUAAUGGCGUUGCCCUGGAACAUCACAAUCUGAUUUUAAAAACAAACAAGCAAACAGUAAUGCAUGGCCUGGAAGUAAUUCCACAAAUGUUCCUGUACAAGAAUAGGCCUGUCCAACCCUGAAAAGUCGCCCAUCCUUGCAGAUAACAGCUGCAAGAGGACUUGGCCAGCACUCACAGGGCCCAUCAACUCCUGGAGGAGAAACUCCAAAGCCUGGUAUGUCUCUGGGCUGGGCUGGGGCAGGGGGGGGGGGAGGGGGCAGGUGGGGAGCCGGACAGCCCCAGCCCCCAUCCCAGCUUCACUCCCCAUCUCCUUCUCCUCCCAGGUCUCCAGGUUGGCUUCCAGCCCUCUGGGAUCCCCUGUUUUCUUUUUCCUGAAUGAGGCUCCCAGCGGCAACCUGGACUCUGCCAUGCCCUGGGUGAACCCAGAGCUGAGGAAGGGGGGUGGUGUGGGAGUCCUGGGGGCCACCAGGAAGGAGAGUCAACACUGCUGUGAAAGGAGUCUGCCCCAGGCUCCCCUGUCCCAACUUUCUUAGUGUCAGCAAUAAAGCCUGAGACUGUAGCUCCCUGCCCUGUGCC